rnacentral:rRNA from 1 species
CGAUAACGAACGAGACCUUAACCUGCUAAAUAGUUAGGCCAACGUUUGUUGGUCGUCAACUUCUUAGAGGGACUAUUGACUAUUAGUCAAUGGAAGUUUGAGGCAAUAACAGGUCUGUGAUGCCCUUAGAUGUUCUGGGCCGCACGCGCGCUACACUGACCAAGUCAACGAGUUUACAACCUUGGCCGGAAGGUCUGGGUAAUCUUUUGAAACUUGAUCGUGCUGGGGAUAGUCCAUUGCAAUUAUUGGACUUCAACGAGGAAUUCCUAGUAAGCGUGAGUCAUCAGCUCGCGUUGAUUACGUCCCUGCCCUUUGUACACACCGCCCGUCGCUACUACCGAUUGAAUGGCU